CGCGCUACACUGAUGCGUUCAACGAGUAUACAACCUUGAUCGAUAGGUCUGGGUAAUCUUGUGAAUGCGCAUCGUGCUAGGGAUAGACUGUUGCAAUUUUCAGUCUUGAACGAGGAAUUCCUAGUAAACGCAAGUCAUCAGCUUGCAUUGAUUACGUCCCUGCCCUUUGUACACACCGCCCGUCGCACCUACCGAUUGAAUGACUCGGUGAAAAAUUGGGACCGUGAGUCCGCUUGCUUCAUUGCGAGUGGAUUGAUGGGAACUUUUUUAAACCUCGCCAUUUAGAGGAAGGUGAAGUCGUAACAAGGUUUCCGUAGGUGAACCUGCGGAAGGAUCAUUACC
rnacentral:rRNA from 1 species